AAUUACACAACAUUUUAAUUUUAUCAAAGAUGGCAAAGAUGAGCAAAGAUGAGUGAGAUCAAAACAUUAUUGAUUAAAAUUUGGCCAAUCCUUAUCUUUGGUUAUGUUUGGUAAAAAACAUAGAGCUUAAAAAUCUUUUGAUAUUUUUUAAUAUAAUAUUAAUAUAUAUAAAAACAAAAAAAAGUAUUAAACCAUAACUUGAUUAAUUAGUGGAUACUUAAUUAUUAAUUUAAUCAAAUAUAUAAUGUGUUACUCUACAAGAGCAUGUAAGUGUAAAAAAUCUAUGGUUACGAAUUCAACUUCAAGACGUGCAUUUAAUAAAAAGAAAAAUAAGCAUUAUGAUGAUGACCAUGAUGACACAGAAAAUUCGAUGAUUGAUAUUGUUAAUGAUGAUUGCCUGGCUCAAAUAUUCAUGUAUCUGGCAGCAUGUGAAAGACCUAAAAUUGCUUUGGUAUGUAAAAAAUGGAAAGAAGCCCUUAAUUAUUCUUGGCAUAAUAUUAAAAAACUUGAUCUAAUUCAUUGGGAAUAUGAGUGUCCAACUUACUCAUACAAAUAUCAUAAAAUCAAUGGACAAUUAAGGUUUUUGAGAUCACUGCUUGAUAAUUGUGGUCGUUAUAUAAAAGAAUUAGAUGUGACAUCCUAUGGUCAUUAUAACAUAGUGCCAGUUAUUAAUGAAUCUUGUCCAAGCCUUGUAAAACUUCGGUUGAGAUUCAAGGAUGCUGAACCAAGAUCAUUAGUUAAUGCAUUUUCACGUCUAUCUAAAUUGAAGCGUUGCUCAUACAUUAACUGAACUGACUCUGUCAAAUUGGAACAGAGAAAAUUUUUAUGAAAGCUGGAGAAUUUCAAAAACAUUCAUUCGCGUGUUUCUUAAACUAAAAGCCUUGAAAUCAAUUGAAACUGAUGGCAUAUUCAUUGAUACUGACUCACACAUGUAUCUGAAACAACUUGGAAUAGUAGUCAUCAGUCACGAUAGUC
rnacentral:misc_RNA from 1 species